AUUAACCUUUUCUAUUUUGCUAUUUUCUCAUUUUAUAAGCCCGGUAUGAUCGUGAACGACGGCGAGGGCGCCACCCUCGUGACCACAAGGAAGUGAAGGACGAGGAAGAGUUCGAAAAGCUCGGGUCGAUCCUGACCGGUCUUCCACCGAUAACCAGAGUUGCAGAUGGUUCUGACCAUCAUUAGAGAUGGCUUGAAGAUCGACUGCAAGAGUUGGACAUAGGAACAUCAUGAAGGACAAAGAGCAGAACCCAGCAGGGCUUGCUCAACUCAUAAUUGUGGGUCAGCAAGGUGAUCGGGCAGAGCCCGCUAAGGAAAGUUCUACACUGCCGGUGUUUGUGAAUUCCGAACCGAAAGUUAGGGGCUCUCUCUUGUUGUUUACAGACGGUCUUUUCUCGAGAAGAAGCCUCUCACAAAAGAAGAGAUUGAUGAAGCGUUUCAGAGUGUGCCUGUAAGUAAAUUGAUUAUUGGUGGUCAAGCCGAUUGUUAAUUUAAUUGUCAAUGUUUUCGUGUUGACAUUGUUUGUUUGCAAAUUGCAUCGUGUGGAGUUUCAUGUUCAGGUGCACAGUUGUGUAUAUCAUUGAGCCAUUUAGGCAAUUCAUUAGGUUUAAGAGAGAAAUCGAUCUCUUGGAGUCGAAAUGUGAAAACCCAUUUUAUACAUUUUUGUAGAACAUGUUGGUUGACUAAAGAGUCACCAACCAUUCAUGUGGGUAUGAAAUUUUGAUUAGGUUGAAGAUCUUUUACACCGCCUCAUAUUAAUAGGGAACAAAAUAUCGGUAGACAUUGAAAGUUAAUCAGUUUUUUUUUUUUAAUGUCAAGUUCUUUGUCUUUGUUCAUAUUUCAUCUUGAAUAUGCAAACUCUCUUAUAUCUUCCUUUUUCCUAUAUAGCAUGUGUAUUGAUACAUUGAUGAGCUUGUUCUUAUAUCGUUAGGUGUUUGAAAGGUUCACUAAACCAUUGUGCAUUCUACUUGAAAAUUACGAUGGCGUAAAUUUGUUAUUGGUGGAAAAUUUUGGAGAAAUUUAUGUCUAGUUCCUGAAGUUUUCUUGUACUUGAUUUUUGAGCCUGUGAGCGACCCCUAGUUUAGUUUGCAAAGGUGAAUCAAGAAAUAGACAAAAUCCGUUGUCUAUUUUCUAAUUCUAAACAUGGGCACUAGUACAAACCCCCCAUGUAGUAACCUACCAAAAAGUAUUUUCUCUUCAUCCACAUAAAAUAAAUAUUGAAAUUAUUCUGAUUCUUGAAUUUCCUGUGCUUCUGCGUACAUUUAUGCACAUAAUGGAUCUUUAAUCUAGUACACGAAAUCAUGUCAACCAAGGGGGCAUUGAUAUGAAAAUUGAACCAAAAUUGUGAAACUGAGCUAAAAUAACCCACACUAUUUUUAGAACUACAACAAAAUUACACACUAUUUCAAAAAACUGAACCAAAAUAACUCACAAUAUUUCUGGAAUAGAACAAAAAAACAUUGUUUCUGGAACUACAACAAAAUAACCACACUAUUUAUGAAUCUGAACCAAAAUAAUCUACACUAUUUUUGUAACUACUGUAAAAUAACCACACUGUAAAAUAGUAGCCUAGUUCUUAGUCCACUUUCAUAAAUAGUGGCCUAGUUCUUGUUCCACUUUCAUGAAUAGUGGCCUAGUUCUUGGUCCAGUUUCAUAAAUAAUGCCUAGUUCUUUGUCAAGUUUCAUAAAUAGUGUAUAAUAAUUGGUACAGUUUCAUAAAUAGUCUCUUUCUUGGUCUAGUUCCAUAAAUAACGUUUAUUUCUUGGUCUAGUUUCAUAAAGAGUUUCCACUUAUUGGUUUAGUUUUAGAAAUAGUGUCUCGUCCUUGAUUUGGUUUCAUAAAUAGUGCCUCCUUAUUGGUCCAGUUUCAUAAAUAGUGCCUAAUUCUUGGUUCACUUUCAUAAAUAGUGCCCUGGUUCUUGGUCCAGUUCAUAAAUAGUGCUUAGUUUUUGGUCCACUUUCAUAAAUAGUGGCUAGUUCUUGAUCCAGUUUCUUAAAUAGUGUCUAGUUCUUGGUCCAGUUUCAUAAAUAGUGUCUCUUUUUGGGACAAUAAGUAGACACUAUUUAUGAAACUAGACCCAAAAAGAGACACUAUUUAUGAAACUGGACCAAGAACUAGACACUAUUUAAGAAACUGGAUCAAGAACUAGCCACUAUUUAUGAAAGUGGACCAAAAACUAAGCACUAUUAGUUGAAAGCAUCUAGACAUCCUAGUAGUAUGCAUAUAUCCCGGAUUUAACUAAUUCGUCCUUUUAAAUAUGGCUAAAAUAACAAAGACUUGUAACUCAAUUAGUUGAAAGCAUUCACAUUUACUCUUAGAAACUCGAGCUCCUCCCUCAUUAUCUAUAGUAGAAGACAGAAAAAAGGAUAUGGUGAAUGGUGAAAACUAUAAUUCAUACAUGAUUGUGUUUACUAUUUGUUAUAAUUAUACACCAGGUUUAUGUCCUUGUAAAUGUAAGGGUGGUUU